CUUACAUUGAUUUCGUCAAACGGUCGGGUGUAUAUUUAGAAGUAGACGCUCAUCAUGAAGGUUUUUAUGGUACCCAUCUUGUUUGUUCUAAUAGACACGACAUCAGGUGCCUUUAAUGCGGCUCUCAAUAAACCAACGACUCUCAGUUCAGUUGGAUGGGGCGGUGUUUCCUCUAGAGCGGUAGAUGGCAAUACUAGUCCUAUCUAUGACGACCUGAGUUGCGUGCACAGUGAUCAAUACAUGAAACCGGAUACUCAAUGGUUGUGUGUUGAUCUAAAGGAGAGUUUUACUAUCGGUAGCAUUAAGAUAUUUAACAGAAAAAAUUAUGGAAAUCGUCUGGAUGGAUUUGAGGUUAGGUUGAGUUCUAGUGGUAAGUGUGAUAGUUCCGGAUUUACAUCAGCUACGCAAUGCUAUAAAGACGACAAAGCAUCACCAGGAAACCUAACAUAUACCAUAAAGAAAUGUAAUGUGACAGAUUUACCAUCAUUUGCUGGCAGAUAUGUUUAUAUAUCCGUUGGAAAAUCAUCUCCUCAACCUCCAAUAUUGACCGUAUGUGAACUACAAAUAUUUACAGAAAACUGUCCUAAUGGCUAUUACGGUACCAACUGUGAUCAGCCGUGUGUUAACUGUAAAGAUGCAUGUCAACGAUCAGAUGGUAUUUGUUUGAAUGGUUGCAAACCAGGAUAUUGGGGAAAGGAUGGUUCCUGUCAUCAGGAAUGCCCCAAGUCCUGUAGAGAAGGCUGUUAACUAAAUGUUGGUACCUGUUUCGCCUGAUACAUUGGUGAUCUCACUGCCCUGAUAUGAACCUUUAUCUAAUUUAGUUAGAAACUUGCUCUUAUUUCACUGGGAA